rnacentral:miRNA from 1 species
AAUGCAGAAUUCCAAGUUAAACUUGAGUUUCAGAUAAAUCAUGAAUAAUUUUUAAGUAUGAGUAUGCAUGCAGUAUUUGGGACAUACUUAUACUAAAAAAUUAUUUGUUGUCUCUCUGAAAUUCAAAUUUAACUGGGCAUCUUGUGUUUU